GAAUUUGUUGUUCCAGAAGUUGUCCAACAAUUGAAUCCAACGGAUUGUGGCAUAUUUGUAAUGAAGUUUAUGCAAUUAUGGAGUAACGGUGGAAUUUCUCGUGCAAUUGCAAAUGACAAGGUCAUCAAGUACAGGGAAAAACUCCUAACACAACUGAUAAUGUCUCCAGAAAAUGAAGUCAGGGAAAAUGUCUACCAGGCUAUGGAUCAGUGAUGUUGUAAUUUUUUUGGUUUAUAGUUGU